UUCGUGGAGGUCCGAACCCACGAGCGUUGAAAAGCUCGGGGAUGACUUGUGGGUAGCGGUGAAAUUCCAAUCGAGCCCGGAGAUAGCUGGUUCUCCCCGAAAUAGCUUUAGGGCUAGCCUCAAGGUGAGAGAUACGGAGGUAGAGCACUGAAUGUCCUAGGGGGUAUUGCACCUACCGAAGACUAUCAAACUCCGAAUGCCGUCAUCUUAUACUUGGGAGUC
rnacentral:rRNA from 1 species